AGCCAAAGAAACAGCACCAGAAGAAAAUUGUGAAGGAAGAACGAUCGGUUAAAAGCUCGUUGAAACGAAGAUAAUCCCCUGAAAAUUUAAAACCUAAAAAUGAAGAAAACGUUGGUUACUGUGGUCAUUUUGGCACUUUCUGUCGCUUUGGGCAGCAGUUUUACAGCAGGAAAUUUUUUUCACCGGUCAAAGAAAGCUGACGUGACAAUCGCAGUUACUGUUAACCUUGUCUUCACUAAUUACACGGAUCCAAAUCACGUCCCUCCAGUGGAGGUCACCGUUCUUCCUGGGAGCAACGCUUUUGCAAUACUAAAGAAAGCUUCCUUGCAAAAUGAUUGCUACAGCUUCCAAUAUGCAUAUUACCCUGGACUUGGAGACUAUAUCACAUCCAUAUGUGAUCUUGGAAACGACGCAUCGACUGGAUACAAUUGGUUCAUUUAUUUAAAUAAUAUUCCAUCCAAUGUUGGAGUUGAUUGUGUUAUACCGGAUAAUUACGACGUUCUUACAUUCAAAUACGAGACGUAUAGCUCUGGACAUGAGUAACUUUGUGGUUUACGUGUAAUUCUCGCACCUAAAUAGAUGUAUAUAUACUUUGAUCAGUACUAUAGUGAUAAAUGAAUAAAUAAGUGGGUUUAAAUUGCUUUUCAUUGUAAAGAUCGACUGCUG